rnacentral:lncRNA from 1 species
UUAUAUCCUUAUCGUAGGUUAGUGUAUGGUUAGAAUUUCCCUUUCUAAAUCAUACCUUGAAUUGUACCUUGUAAGUUUAAAGUUACUCCAACAUAAAAAUUAUAAAGUAAGGAAAUCAUGCAAUAAAAGUUGUAAUUUGGGUUACAAUUUGAUAUACAAAACAUUUUAUAUUAGUAGGAUUUGAGAAAGGGUUGUAGACAUGCAUAUUCUACUUUAAAAUGCAAGUAUUAUUGACUGUUUUCACAACUUACAUUUGUAACCUAUAAAUUACACAAUUAAAAUUUUACUGUUACUAUUCUUGAAUGAAAAGUAACUAAUUUUAGUGAAACUUAUUCUUGUUCAAUAUUCAUUGAUGAAAUUAGGCCUAAUUGUAUGAAAAUUUCUUGUGAUUCCCCUUCUUUAUUUUAGACUGUCUAAAAUUUUAUGACUGCUACAACAGUGGUUGAUGGCACUAGAUAAUGGAGAAGAAUCCAACUUUAAAAAUUAAUUUAUUAUGAAAAAUGCUUUUAAUCAAAAGUAUUUUUUUAAAUAACGAUUUAGGUUUGCUUAAUCAAUUUGAAAGGUUUUCUUUAGUAGUAUUAGACAAUAAUUUGUAUUCGGAUAAUGUUGAAUGCUUCU